UGGGGAAUAUUGCACAAUGGGGGAAACCCUGAUGCAGCGACGCCGCGUGAGCGAAGAAGGCUUUCGAGUCGUAACGCUCUGUCCUAUGAGAAGAUAAUGACGGUAUCAUAGGAGGAAGCCUUGGCUAAAUACGUGCCAGCAGCCGCGGUAAUACGUAUGGGGCGAGCGUUGUCCGGAAUUAUUGGGCGUAAAGCGCGCGCAGGCGGCUACUUAAGUCCAUCUUAAAAGUGCGGGGCUUAACCCCGUGAUGGGAUGGAAACUGAGAAGCUGGAGUGUCGGAGAGGAAAGUGGAAUUCCUAGUGUAGCGGUGAAAUGCGUAGAGAUUAGGAAGAACACCGGUGGCGAGGGCGACUUUCUGGACGACAACUGACGCUUAGGCGCGAAAGCGUGGGGAGCAAACAGG
rnacentral:rRNA from 1 species